UUUUGGCCCCAUAAGUUUUGCAACUGUAGCAGUUUUGGCCCCCCAAUGCCAAUUUUUGGUAAAAAAAAUAACACGUGGCACCUCACUUAGGGUGCCACGUCAGCGUAGACUGAGUCAAAAUUGGCCUUGGGGGCCAAAACUGCCACAGAUGCAAAACUUAGGGGGCAGGGG
rnacentral:pre_miRNA from 1 species